CGGGUGCGUAACACGUGAGCGACCUGCCUCCCCGCGGGGGAUAGCCGGCCCAACGGCCGGGUAAUACCGCAUACGCUCGCUUCGGGGCAUCCCGGGGCGAGGAAACUUCCGGGGCGGGGAGAGGGGCUCGCGGCCUAUCAGCUAGUUGGCGGGGUGACGGCCCACCAAGGCGGCGACGGGUAGCUGGUCUGAGAGGAUGGCCAGCCACAUUGGGACUGAGAGACGGCCCAGACUCCUACGGGAGGCAGCAGUGGGGAAUCUUGCGCAAUGGCCGCAAGGCUGACGCAGCGACGCCGCGUGGGGGAGGAAGGGCUUCGGCUCGUAAACCCCUGUUGCCCGGGGCGAACAUCCCCUCUCGAGGGGACUGACGGUACCGGGUGAGGAAGCACCGGCUAACUCCGUGCCAGCAGCCGCGGUAAUACGGAGGGUGCGAGCGUUGUCCGGAAUCACUGGGCGUAAAGGGCGCGUAGGUGGCCCGUCAAGCGCGCGGUGAAAGCCCGGGGCUCAACCCCGGGUCGGCCGUGCGGACU
rnacentral:rRNA from 1 species